rnacentral:rRNA from 1 species
GACAGAGGGUGCGAACGUUGCUCGGAAUUACUGGGCGUAAAGCGCGUGUAGGCGGAUGCGCAAGUCCGUUGUGAAAUCCCUGGGCUCAACCCAGGAACUGCAUCGGAAACUGCAUAUCUUGAGUAAUGGAGAGGGAAGUGGAAUUCCCGGUGUAGAGGUGAAAUUCGUAGAUAUCGGGAGGAACACCAGUGGCGAAGGCGGCUUCCUGGACAUUUACUGACGCUGAGACGCGAAAGCGUGGGGAGCAAAC